GAUGAAGAACGUAGCGAAAUGCGAUAAGUAAUGUGAAUUGCAGAAUUCAGUGAAUCAUCGAAUCUUUGAACGCACAUUGCGCCCGCUAGUAUUCUGGCGGGCAUGCCUGUCCGAGCGUCAUUUCAACCCUCAAGCCCCCGGGCUUGGUGUUGGGGAUCGGCGAGCCUCCGCGCCCGCCGUCCCCUAAAUCUAGUGGCGGACCCGUCGUGGCCUCCUCUGCGAAGUAGUGAUAUUCCGCAUCGGAGAGCGACGAGCCCCUGCCGUUAAACCCCCAACUUUCCAAGGUUGACCUCAGAUCAGGUAGGAAUACCCGCUGAACUUAAGCAUAUCAAUAAGCGGAGGA
rnacentral:misc_RNA from 1 species